GGAUGCCAGGGCAGUAUGGCUAUGAUACUUAUCACCCCAUUGGUUGCUAGAGAUGAUUCUGUUGAUUUUACUGACUAGAUGAGUGUUCCAUUCCUUCCUUGCCUCUCUGUGUGUGUCCUUCCCAAAUCUGUAUGCUCUCAAUAGAAGAGAGCCAGUCUUUGGUUAAGGUUAUAAGAUAGCUGAACUUCCUUGCUAGAGCCUACAUACAAGCUUUCAAUUUAUUCCUGAAAACAUAAUCAAAGAACAUUUGCAUAAUUACAACAUUUUUUGUUGUCUGAUUGAUUUGC
rnacentral:snRNA from 1 species